rnacentral:rRNA from 1 species
AAACCGGAGGAAGGUGGGGAUGACGUCAAGUCAUCAUGGCCCUUACGGCCAGGGCUACACACGUGCUACAAUGGUCGGUACAAAGGGUUGCCAAGCCGGCGAGGUGGAGCUAAAUCCCAUAAACCGAUCGUAGUCCGGAUCGCAGUCUGCAACUCGACUGCGUGAAGUCGGAAUCGCUAGUAAUCGUGAAUCAGAAUGUCACGGUGAAUACCGGUUCCCGGGCCUU